rnacentral:rRNA from 1 species
GACGUAGGUGGCGAACGUUUAUCCGGAAUCAUUGGGCGUAAAGGGUGCGUAGAUGGCAUAAUAAGUUAUUAGUGGGAAAUCGAGGCUCAACCUCGUGGAAGCUAGUAAUACUGUUUUGCUUGAGUGCAGAAGAGGUUAACGGAACUCCAUGUGGAGCGGUAAAAUGCGUAGAUAUUGGGAGGAACACCAGUGGCGAAGGCGGCUCACUGGACCGGUACUGACGCUGAGGCGCGAAAGCGUGGGGAGCAAACGGG